GACAGAGGCCUCGAGCGUUAGGCGGAAUCACUGGGCUUAAAGCGUGUGUAGGCGGAUGCCUAAGUACCUUGUGAAAUCCCACGGCUCACCCGUGGAACCGCUGGGUAUACUGGGCAUCUUGGGCCAUUCAGGGGCAACUGGAACAAGCGGUGGAGCGGUGAAAUGCGUAGAUAUCGCUUGGAACGCCGACGGUGAAACAGGUUGCUGGGAAUGUGCCGACGCUGAGACACGAAAGCCAGGGGAGCAAACGGG
rnacentral:rRNA from 1 species